UACCAGAUAACUUCUAAAGCUUCGAUCUAUGGGUCUCCCAUUUCAAUUCAUGCCCUCUAUUCCUAAAAUUAGAACACGACAAAACAAGCAGAUUAUUUUGUAACAUCAAGGAGUACAAAAUUAAUAACUUGACCUUAGCAUCAGAUCCUUGGAUCAAAGUAACAAUAAAGCCAAACUGAGACUCAAAAUCCCUAUAAAAACUGAAACCCUAACCCUAAUCGUUUUUAACAAAAA